GAUGAACGCUGGCGGCGUGCCUAAUACAUGCAAGUCGAGCGAACAGACGAGGAGCUUGCUCCUCUGACGUUAGCGGCGGACGGGUGAGUAACACGUGGAUAACCUACCUAUAAGACUGGGAUAACUUCGGGAAACCGGAUCUAAUACCGGAUAAUAUAUUGAACCGCAUGGUUCAAUAGUGAAAGACGGUUUUGCUGUCACUUAUAGAUGGAUCCCCGCCGCAUUAGCUAGUUGUUAAGGUAACGGCUUACCAAGGCAACGAUGCGUAGCCGACCUGAGAGGGUGAUCGGCCACACUGGAACUGAGACACGGUCCAGACUCCUACGGGAGGCAGCAGUAGGGAAUCUUCCGCAAUGGGCGAAAGCCUGACGGAGCAACGCCGCGUGAGUGAUGAAGGUCUUCGGAUCGUAAAACUCUGUUAUUAGGGAAGAACAAAUGUGUAAGUAACUAUGCACGUCUUGACGGUACCUAAUCAGAAAGCCACGGCUAACUACGUG
rnacentral:rRNA from 1 species